rnacentral:rRNA from 1 species
CACGUAGGGCGCAAGCGUUGUCCGGAAUUAUUGGGCGUAAAGAGCUCGUAGGCGGUCUGUCACGUCUGCUGUGAAAACUCGGGGCUUAACCCCGGGCCUGCAGUGGGUACGGGCAGACUAGAGUGCGGUAGGGGAGACUGGAAUUCCUGGUGUAGCGGUGAAAUGCGCAGAUAUCAGGAGGAACACCGGUGGCGAAGGCGGGUCUCUGGGCCGUAACUGACGCUGAGGAGCGAAAGCGUGGGGAGCGAACAGG